rnacentral:rRNA from 1 species
UACGUAGGUGGCAAGCGUUGUCCGGAGUUAUUGGGCGUAAAGCGCGCGCAGGCGGUGCGGUAAGUCUCUGGUGAAAGCGCUCGGCUUAACUGGGCGAGGGCCGGGGAGACUGCCACGCUGGAGGGAGCAGAGGCGAGUGGAAUUCCGGGUGUAGUGGUGAAAUGCGUAGAGAUCCGGAGGAACACCAGUGGCGAAGGCGGCUCGCUGGGCUCUACCUGACGCGUG